UUAUUUACUAAGAUAGUUUAUAAACACUUAAGGUACCUACAGAACGUUUUGCAAAGUCUGACCUGUUGACAUAUUUUUAAUAAAAUUAAUAUUUUAAGUAAAGUGAACCUUAUAAUUCCGAUUGAUUCUUCUAAGUAAAAGCUUUAGCAUUUCCAUCUAAAGUAAUUGGAUAGGUACACUCUGAUCUUGAACGGAUAUGAUAAUAAAGUCAUCGAAAGAGUUUUGAUUAUUAUAGUACAAACAAAUAUGGCCGGAACACUUAUAGAGAGCGUGUGUGCUCAUUACUGGUGUUCAAACUAAACCGAACAGUUUUAAACAUUUUAAAUUUAUAUUUAAUAUUAUUAAUUUGAAUAAAAUUAUAUACAUUAUGUUAUAUAUUUAAAUAAUACGUAUGCAUACACAUACCGGGUGAUUGGUUAACUAUGGACCACUCAAUAUCUUAGAAGAUAUUAGACUUUUUUAAUUUUUUUUUUUUUAUACUUUUAUAGUAAUUAGUUGGGACAAAUUUUAUAUAUAUUUCAAAAUUUUAACACCAUCCCUUAUGCGUUAAAACCAUAUCAACUUUAGAUUUUUAAAUGGUAACCCCCAAUUUGUUGAUGAUCGUGUUUAUUUUUUUUUAAUUUAAUUUUAGGUGUAAAAACUAGGUAAAUCGAUUGAGUAAUUAACCAGCUACACAGUUUUAAAAUUAAAGGGAGUGUAAAAAAUAAAUUAAAUAUCUUGGAGACGCUAACAUAUUAAGGUGACACUUGACUGCUCUCUGUUAUUAUUUAUUGACAAUUAACUUUGACAAUAGCUAUAGUAGCGUUUAAAAAUCAUAACCGUACCAAACACUAUUUACUUUAGGUAAAUAAUUCACCGAUAGUAAAUAAUAAUGAUAACCGCUAUAUCAACUGACAAAUAUACCACCACUACACACUUUUACAUUUAUUUUAUAAAAUAGUAGGUAUGUUUAAUUUGUUAUCAAUACCUUGUGUAUAUUUUUCCAGCAUUUAGCAAUUAUAUGUUUUGGUUAAUUUGACACAUUUUGUUUAUUCAUGCGAUUUGUACGUCUUAAUUUCAUAGUAUAUUAUAAUAAUAUAGUAUCAUAACUUACUAGAUCUAUGAACUUGUCAACAUUUAUUGUGUUUUAAAUAAUAACAUUGAUAUUAAAUAUCCAUAAUCAAUGUGAAUACCAAGAUGGAGUUUUGCUCAAGUGACAAGUCUAUAAAACCUAUAACCUUACUUAUAAAAUGUAUGCACAUCAAAUAUCAAAAUUAAAGUAUUAUGUCUUUGUUCUGAGAAACUUAUAAAUGUGUAGUUUUGUGUUUUAACAUAUUGGUAUCUGAAUUCAAAGAAAAAAUAUAAAAUUUUUUAUGAAAAAAUUGAAUCUUCAAUCAUCAUUUACUGAAUCAAUAAUAGUAUGUUCAAUAUUAAUAUGGACUAUUCCAACUUAAAUUGAUAUUUGUUAUUGUCUACAACUACACUACUACUAACGUCAAAUUUGGUGUAUUAUAUUAUUGUAGUCAAUCAGUCUAAACCAAUUCCAUCAAUACAUUGUCGAAUGUUGUGGUAUUCAAUUUUCAGUUAAUUUAUAGGUGUUUUAUUUUAAGUUACUGUGGCACACUAUUGCAGAUAACGGUUUUCCAUUAAGUCAGUAAGAAGAAUAAGAUGGAUUCACAAGUUCAAAUCAAAUAUUAGACAACUAUAUAUAGUUAUUCAGCUAAAAAUGUAAUUCAAUAAAAUAAUUUAAAAGUACUUUAUCAUUUUGAAAGUGACAUAAAGUUUUUAAACUCUAAGUAUUUCAACACACAUAUACUUAACAAUCUAUA